UACGUAGGGCGCAAGCGUUGCCCGGAAUCACUGGGCGUAAAGGGUGCGUAGGCGGGUCUUUUAAGUCAGGGGUGAAAUCCUGGAGCUCAACUCCAGAACUGCCUUUGAUACUGAGGAUCUUGAGUUCGGGAGAGGUGAGUGGAACUGCGAGUGUAGAGGUGAAAUUCGUAGAUAUUCGCAAGAACACCAGUGGCGAAGGCGGCUCACUGGCCCGAUACUGACGCUGAGGCACGAAAGCGUGGGGAGCAAACAGG
rnacentral:rRNA from 1 species